UACGUAGGGGGCAAGCGUUAAUCGGAAUUACUGGGCGUAAAGCGUGCGCAGGCGGCUUUGCAAGACAGAUGUGAAAUCCCCGGGCUUAACCUGGGAACUGCAUUUGUGACUGCAUGGCUGGAGUGCGGCAGAGGGGGAUGGAAUUCCGCGUGUAGCAGUGAAAUGCGUAGAUAUCAGGAGGAAUACCGAUGGCGAAGGCAGGUCUCUGGGCUGACACUGACGCUCAUGCACGAAAGCGUGGGGAGCAAACAGG
rnacentral:rRNA from 1 species